CUGCUGCCUCCCGUAGGAGUUUGGGCCGUGUCUCAGUCCCAAUGUGGCCGUCCACCCUCUCAGGCCGGCUACUGAUCGUCGCCUUGGUGGGCCGUUACCCCGCCAACAAGCUAAUCAGACGCGGGUCCAUCUUACACCACUAAUGUUUUUCUACUCUGUCCCAUGCGGGACUGUGCGCUUAUGCGGUAUUAGCACCUAUUUCUAAGUGUUAUCCCCCUGUGUAAGGCAGGUUACCCACGCGUUACUCACCCGUCCGCCACUAAG
rnacentral:rRNA from 1 species